rnacentral:rRNA from 1 species
AUUGAACGCUGGCGGCAGGCCUAACACAUGCAAGUCGAACGAGAGGUGGACGGGUGAGUAAUGUCUGGGCAACUGCCUGAUGGAGGGGGAUACCUACUGGAAGCUGUAGCUAAUACCGCAUACCAUCAGAUGUGCCCAGAGGGGAGUAGCUAGUGGGGGGGGUAACGGCUCAUCAAGGCGACGAUCCCUAUCUGGUCUGAGAGGAUGACCAGCCACACUGGAACUGAGACACGGUCCAGACUCCUACGGGAGGCAGCAGUGGGGAAUAUUGCACAAUGGGCGCAAGCCUGAUGCAGCCAUGCCGCGUGUAUGAAGAAGGCCUUCGGGUUGUAAAGUACUUUCAGCGGGGAGGCGUUACCCGCAGAAGAAGCACCGGCUAACUCCGUGCCAGCAGCCGCGGUAAUAC